AAUACAGUUCUGUCAUCUGCUCAGCCAAGACAAAUGGACAAGACAUCACAGCAAGCACAGGUGGAAAACACAGGUUGCAAACGAAAAUCACCACUUAACUGCUGACUAAAUAAUCAGAAAUGGGGAACGCACCAUCAGAAUGUAACAUGGGCGACCGCCUGAGAUGCUGCAAGUGCAAUAAAGUCCUGCCUCCAUGCAAAUCCUUUGAUGAUUUAUACAAAAGUAUUGUUCAUGGGCGGGACGUAUAUGUGUUCAAUGGAUGUGAAUACUACAGACCAGUUGGCUACGAUAAUAUGUACGAGUGUAAUUAUUGCUUUAAUAAGCCAAUCAGGGAUCAAGAGGAGCGACAGAGGAGAGAAGAGGAGAAGAGAAGAGAAGAGGAGAGGAGAAGAGAAGAGGAGCGACAGAGAACUGCCACAGUUUGGAUGACAGGAAUGUUCUUAACAAAGCUCUUUGCACUUGGUGAAUUCUUCUUCUUCCAUAAAGUAAUCUUGCUACCUUCAGAUCCACCAGGUUGCAUCCAGUUCACAUUUUCCUAAAUUCUGUUUAUCACUGCGCCCCUGCUCUGUGUCUACAGCAUCUCAUGCAUUAUCUUAAAAAUGGUGUCAAAUGUUUCAUUCAGAAAUUCAAUGUAACUGCAAGUGCUACAGCUAAAUUAAAACUGAUGUUCUGGGUAACAAUGAACUUGCAAUAUAUUCUGUGUAUUACUUUGCACAAUGCUCUCUCAUUAUGGCCUGAAUAGCAUGCAACCGUAUGUCUGAAAUACUUCUGUCUUAAUAAAGCGAGCUGAGAGCUA